GUGACACCACAUCCAGGCUCGAGGGAGGCCCAGCCUCAAGGGCCUGGGACCGAGGGGCUGCAGCCUCAGGUCUGACCAGCCUGCUGCACGCUAGAGGUGCUUGGACACCCAGAGCUGGCUUGGGGCCUGACCGGCAUCCCCCUCUUCCUCUAACUCGCCACUGCCCUGCCCCUUCACACCCUCUCCCCACAGUGGGCUCUCAGCUUCCUUCAUCUGCCCAAGGAAAAAGGGAUAAUGCCUCCAUUGUGACCUCCCCCCCCCUCAGUUACCCACUCUUCCCACAUGUGGGCCCUGCCUAGUCCUGGCAGCUUACACACACACAGUGCCCCCCCCCCCCCCCCGCUCCCCCCAGAGCUGCCUUCUGUGCAAGGUCAGGUGGCCUUGGACAUCCUGAGCCAGGGCUGCAGGCUCAGGGGGCUGCAUUCCUGGCAUCUCAUUAGGCUAUCUCUGCUUUCCAGAGGUGACAACCCAACAAAGCUCUGCCGAGGGCGCCCCCUGCUGCGGAGAGCACAAUAUUGCCUGGGGGACCUGGGAGGACAAACUUCAACCGAGGGGCUAGACAUUUUCAGAUAAAAUUCCAGGCCCCUCUCCCCAAUCCAGGCCCAGCCUCCUGCUUGAUCAACUGAGACGGCGGAGGCCAAAGCAGGUUGAGCUCCCGGGGUCACGGCCAGGUCAGCUCCAGGCUCUGCUCAAAGCCGCCCCACAGCUCCCUGCUUGCUGAACGACACCCCAGAGUCCCUGGGCCUGCGUCCUUGCAACCUCCAGGACCUCACCACGAGUCCGCUACCCCCCUCCUCCUCCAUCACAGAUGGGCCUGGUUUUCCUCCAGAAGGAUCUCCAGCGACCAGCGCAGAUGUUGGCAGAAUGAACAAAUUGCCCGGCAGUAUUUACUGAGCACCUACUGCAUGCCCGCACAGUCCCAGGCUGAGAAACAAAGUAACAAUGACAACCAAGGUGCCAGCCCUCCCGGAGGGACAGAUGCUCAUUACCAAACCACAGGAAAGUGGCUGCCCUCCUUCCCUUCAUCACACCCACCUCCACCCCACCCCUUUCCAGCACCAGCCUAUUCUUGUUCCAUAACCUUCCUACUCUCCAAAGACCCCUGAAGACUAUCCUCCAGACUCCCGCUGGGUGUGUUCUCAGUCCCCUGACUUCUGGAGUCCAGACCCCACCCUCCUGGCCACCGCGGGACCUCACAUCUCCAGGCCUUUGCUUGGGCUCAGGCUCUGCUGUCUGCCUGCCAUGUUGCUUCUAACUCAGAAAAUUUCAGUCUACCUU